rnacentral:rRNA from 1 species
CCUACGGGAGGCAGCAGUGGGGAAUAUUGCACAAUGGGGGAAACCCUGAUGCAGCGACGCCGCGUGAGUGAAGAAGUCUUUCGGUAUGUAAAGCUCUAUCAGCAGGGAAGAAAAUGACGGUACCUGACUAAGAAGCGCCGGCUAACUACGUGCCAGCAGCCGCGGGAAUACGUAGGGGGCAAGCGUUAUCCGGAUUUACUGGGUGUAAAGGGAGCGUAGGCGGGUGGGCAAGUCAGAUGUGAAAGCCCGGGGCUCAACCCCGGGAGUGCUUUUGAAACUGUCCGGCUGGAGUGCAGGAGAGGUAAGUGGAAUUCCUAGUGUAGCGGUGAAAUGCGUAGAUAUUAGGAGGAACACCAGUGGCGAAGGCGGCUUACUGGACUGUAACUGACGCUGAGGCUCGAAAGCGUGGGGAGCAAACAGGAUUAGAUACCCUAGUAGUC